AAAAAAUACCCCAUCUUGUGGGGUGGGGUAUAGGAAACAAGAAGAAAGACAAGGGUGGCAGGACGUAGUUGACGAACUUAACGAGAAGCUUGGUCAUGCAGCUCUCGAAGUCACACUUAGGCGCAAGCUGGACUUGCUUAGGUAUAAAUUGAGGAAGUUAGAUAAUAGACAGAGCACUGUUCGCAAAUCAGUCUGGUGGUUUGCCGUGCAGUUCGGCAUGUUGCGCGCUGUGCAGACUCUAACGAAACAACUGAUAGCAGACGGGCAAAACACAGAACACACAAUACAAACAGUGGCAGCGACAUUAAUGAAGACUUUGUAGGAUUUGACGAAUACGAAACAGGCGAGAUAGGUAGAGUAAUAGUAUUAGGUAGGUAGUAGUAAUUAGAAGAACUGAUGAAGGUGCGAGAUAGGAUAGAGAAUAGCAUAGACGUAGCAAGCCGCCCUGGUUUUGGACCCUGCUUAGCACCCUCUACAUCGGUUCAGACAGCGCUAAUAGGGGGAAAUCGGCGCCUCAAGACGGAAGUGUAAGCCAUGCAGAAGGAAGUCCAACGGAUUAAAGAUCAACGGCCAGAAAUAGCGGAUUAAGUUGAUAGCAAUAGCGAGACGGAGGCGCCUAAAAAAGUCGUAAGCCAUUGAUAUCAACACACCGCCCAACACAGUUACGCUGCGUUAUGUUACAUGUAUUAUUUAUUUAUAUUAUUUAUAUGUUUAGCUAAAGUUAAACCAGCCGAUGCCAGCUGUUUAAAAUAAUUGGCGACGCGCCUGCCACGGUAGCUCAAGGUGGUGUGGAAAACCGUGAAAAAAUUGUAUGAAAAAAAAAACGUUAUGGGUUUGGGUUGCUUUUUGUCUUCUUCAUUAAUCGGCAUCUUAGCCUUGCCCUUACAAAUUCCGUUAUCGAUAUAAUCGAUAACGCAUUCUCAUAACGGCUUAGUGGUGGUAGGAGGC